ACGGAACAACCCGAAAAUCCGAAAAAGAGUAGGGG
rfam:Bacteroidales bacterium 36-12 SCNpilot_bf_inoc_scaffold_908, whole genome shotgun sequence.